UACGGAGGGGGCUAGCGUUGUUCGGAAUUACUGGGCGUAAAGCGCACGUAGGCGGCUUUGCAAGUCGAGUGUGAAAUCCCCCAGGCUUAACCUGGGAACUGCAUUCGAGACUGCAUAGCUAGAGUAUGGGAGAGGGAAGUGGAAUUUCAGGUGUAGCGGUGAAAUGCGUAGAUAUACUGAAGGAACAUCAGUGGCGAAAAGCACUUCCUGGACCAAU
rnacentral:rRNA from 1 species